rnacentral:rRNA from 1 species
UACGUAGGGUGCGAGCGUUGUUCGGAUUCAUUGGGCGUAAAGGGUGCGUAGGCGGCGGGGCAAGUCUGAUGUGAAAUCCCGGGGCUCAACCCCGGAACUGCAUUGGAUACUGCCUUGCUCGAGUACUGGAGAGGGAACUGGAAUUUACGGUGUAGCAGUGAAAUGCGUAGAGAUCGUAAGGAAGGCCAGUGGCGAAGGCGAGUUCCUGGACAGUUACUGACGCUGAGGCACGAAGGCCAGGGGAGCAAACGGG